UCCCUGACGUGAGGGCGUCUAACCCUCCCUC
rnacentral:piRNA from 1 species